rnacentral:rRNA from 1 species
AACGAACGCUGGCGGCAGGCCUAACACAUGCAAGUCGAACGCCCUGGCAACAGGGAGUGGCAGACGGGUGAGUAACGCGUGGGAACGUGCCCUUCGGUUCGGAAUAACUCAGGGAAACUUGAGCUAAUACCGGAUACGUGCGAGAGCAGAAAGAUUUAUCGCCGAAGGAUCGGCCCGCGUCCGAUUAGCUAGUUGGUGAGGUAACGGCUGACCAAGGCGACGAUCGGUAGCUGGUCUGAGAGGAUGAUCAGCCACACUGGGACUGAGACACGGCCCAGACUCCUACGGGAGGCAGCAGUGGGGAAUAUUGGACAAUGGGCGCAAGCCUGAUCCAGCCAUGCCGCGUGAGUGAUGAAGGCCCUAGGGUUGUAAAGCUCUUUCGCCAGGGACGAUAUUGACGGUACCUGGAUAAGAAGCCCCGGCUAACUUCGUGCCAGCCGCCGCCGUAA